UCUGUGCUAUGCAUAACUGAAAAACCUCCUAGAAUUACUUUCUGAAGAGGGAUUUGAUGAAAACUUUGAGAUCUUUUGACUCCUGAGGGUGAGAGCUCUGCAGUUCUCUCAGCAUGGAGAGAAUUGCAGAGAUAGUGGUAGAGGCACAUGGGAAAAAACAAAAACUGACAUGUACAGAAAUUGAGUUGAAGAACUUAAUGCAGAAACCCAGACCAAACCAACAUGGGGUUGCAAAGAAAGAAGUUAUGUCACCUUAAUAGCAAAAGGGGAUGAUUUUUGCAAUAUUGCAUGCAGUGGUCCUGAUGGAGCACAAUGAGAAGCAGCAGAACACAGAGGAAGUCAGAUAUGUAGCAAGAAAGUUUUAAACUCAAAUGACCAAAAUUAUUCAUAAUAGGUAGGUCUGGAGAAAUCCUCAUUUCUGAAAACUAUAUCUCUUAUCACCCCCAUCAAAACACCACUAUUUCAACCUACCAUGGCCAAUCUUGCUGAUAGAUUUCUCCUUUGGAAUGAGAAAGUUACCUAAGAAACAAAAUAAGAAUUUAACAGGGUAUGCAAAGCAAGAAUAGUCCACAGAGCUGAAACUCUUCCCUGUCUCUUCCCUCAGCCUUCUCCUAUCCCUUCACUGCACCUACUACGGAUAACUUAGGUUGGAACUUACCUUUCUCAUCCAAAAUGCCUUUCUCAAAGAAGAAUCUAAUCUUGUCUCCACUGGUUAGGAAAUAAUCUGAGCUACCCUGCCAGGAAUAAGAGCCCAGUAAAGACAAUAUCCUUAUAAAUACAUGCACAAACCUUCCCAUUAGAGAUUUACUUACCUGCAUCUUUUUCCCAUCAAGCCGCCACAGAAACAAAGCAGAAAUCAAACUUUUAAGACUUUCCACGGUAUUAAGUUUCUUGGCACUAAUUAGCGCUUUACAAGAAUGAUGCAUGCACGUGGGCUACUCAUGUUUUUCUUUUGCUAGUUGUCACUCUUACAGAGAACAAGUUAUUUUCCACGGCUGUGUGUAGAACAAAUGCAGCACAACUAUCUGCAAGAGCUGCUACGGCUGUCAGGAGCAAUUGUUGCAGCUGAGAGCACAGCAGAGCCACAUCGGUGGUCUUCUCUUUCACCCUCUGAUAGGACCACCACCACUCUGAGAAGCUAGUUUCAAACAUGUUGUCUUCUAUCAGCUCAUCCAUCCCAGGAGUUUGCCUUUUCCCUUUCCUCCUCCAGAACUAACAGGGGCAGCCUUGCCCUUGCCGGUACCUGCGCCUGGAGCUGCUCCUUCUCUUUGGUGGAGAACUCCGUGCGGCAGUGCGGCGGCACUUCCAUCUCGGCUAUAACUCUCUGAAUCUGAUUCCUCAUGCUGUCACACUCCUCCGCUGUGAAGAAAUGCUCCAGCACAAGGAAGCCAUCCUCGUGGAACUGGAAGAGAGCACUGGAGUUCAGAGGGAGAUGGGGCAACUGCGCUCCUCCAGGGUCUUUGGAGAAAGUAGUAAAAAGCAAGAGAAUACAUUUCUGGCCUUUCACUGUGCCUCAGCUUAUUGUAAAAAUAUCUCAGCUUCAUCUCUGCACCAGGACACUAGGUAGUAGAUAAAAUAGACACCUUGCUCUUCAGACUAUGUAUUUGAUGAAGGUGUGAUUACACUUUCAGUUGCUCUAGUCCAACACUAACCUAUGUACUACAACUGGUAUGUUUGCUCUUUAUGGUUUCAUCCGUUAAGGAGCGUUUCAGUGUUGUCUUAAUCUUUUAUUUCAAAAGGGGUUUCUACUGCAUAAAAAUAAUUCAUUCACAGGCUCAGAUUUCAUACAGUUAAGAACAACAUUAUUUCAACUCCUCAGUCUAACAGGCUGCUGAAACCAGAGAAGAUACAAUUGCUAGUAUCUUUGUGGCUUAUAGAUAUCUUUUCUAAAAGAAACAUGACUAGCAACAAUUAAACUGUAAACUCGGCUAAAAUUAACAGAGCAGUCAUACCUGGAUUCUAAAUUAGAAAAAGACUCAUCUACAAGCUGGAAAAAAGUUAUUUUCUUUUAAGUAAAAAUCCCUUGGUGAUUUCUCAUGGUUGACUACACAGUCCCUUAUAAAAGCAAGUGAACUGUGUUGACACUACUGUUUCUUUAUAUAGAAUACCUUAGAGAUUAUCCUUUGAUAGGCAGAUUUCAGCUUCCGGGAUGAGAGCUAAGCAGGAAAAACAGAAGUGCAAGAGAGGGAAAUUCUUCAGAGCGUUCUGCAAGACAAGCUGCCCCCUCGGAAAAGUUCAUAGCCACAACAGGGUCCUCACAUACUCAAAUAUAAUACAAGAAGCUGAGAAGAACAUAAAGCCUUUGUGAAGCAGAUCUUUGCUAGAUCUAUUCAUUGGUUAAGUAGUAGUGGCUAUGUCUUACAAGUACAGUGACUGACCUGCCCUAUAAACACCCAGGGUGUAAUUCCUCGGUCUCUUCUCUUACCUUUUGGAUCAGAUUCGCAGUUACAAAAGCCAUCAGAGGCAGAAGCUCCCAGUAGCCCACCAGCAGCACCGCAAACCCACCAAGGCUCUGCAGAGCUGACUCCCCGCCUCUUCACGUGACCCUUCUAGCAGCAUGUGAUAAGAGCAAGCACUGAGCAGGGGAACUGCUGCAUGGCUGGAGGAGCUGCCUCUUGAGGAAUUUGUUCCCGACUCCAGCCAGUUGCUCCUGGUAGGGACACGUAGGGCUGCAGAGCUUCACCUCAGCUCCUGGUACAACUCCAGCAUCACGAAAACAUUCUCAAGUUUAUGUCAUGCAAUCACAAACUUGAUUCAUUCCUCAACUCUAAGGAGAAAUUGCUGUUCUGUAACCCAGGUGCUCGAUGGUGAUUUUCAGCUUCAGUUGCCUGCGUUGCUGUCCUGGAGCUCCAAAUGUACAUGUAAAUAGCAUAGGAAAACAGACAAGAGAGCCAGGCUUUGGGAGACUGCUCAACCUUCGGGCCUCCUAGCUACACAGGAGAGGACUGCAGGACCUCGGGGAGCAUUUGGUCAAGACGAGGGAAAGAAGCACUGGAAGAGGAAGAGACGUGAGUGGAAAAACACAGCAGUGAGAAGAUGCUUGAUCCAAGAACACACCCCUCCUAACUGCAAAGUUACCAAUAAGGCUGAUGGACUUCACGGGGGUCCCCAGGCUCUUACGCCAGAGCUUCUCUACCCCAGCUGCGACAAAGCACCGCAAAGGACGCGUUUAAAGGAGAGCAGUCCCUGACCACCGCACCGUGCUCCUCUCGCGGGGUGGCCGCAACACCAGUCUCAACCCAGAGCACCUCACUGCCGCCCUCGGGCGCCCACAAACCACCUCAGAGGUGAGGGGAAGGAGGCCGCGCUCCUCCCCCGCCGCGGCCCCAGCUGCCCCCAGCCCCGCCGGGGCGCGGAGGAAGCGAACCGCUGCCCCGUUAGUCAGCAAAUCCCUUCGCCGGCCGCCCCGCCGCUGCCCUCGCCUCAGGGCUGCGCCCCGCGC